rnacentral:rRNA from 1 species
GACGAACGCUGGCGGCGUGCUUAACACAUGCAAGUCGAACGGAAAGGCCCUGCUUUUGUGGGGUGCUCGAGUGGCGAACGGGUGAGUAACACAUGAGUAACCUGCCCUUGACUUUGGGAUAACUUCAGGAAACUGGGGCUAAUACCGGAUAGGAGCUCCUGCUGCAUGGUGGGGGUUGGAAAGUUUCGGCGGUUGGGGAUGGACUCGCGGCUUAUCAGCUUGUUGGUGGGGUAGUGGCUUACCAAGGCUUUGACGGGUAGCCGGCCUGAGAGGGUGACCGGCCACCUUGGGACUGCGAUACGGCCCAGACUCCUACGGGAGGCAGCAGUGGGGAAUAUUGCACAAUGGGCGGAAGCCUGAUGCAGCAACGCCGCGUGCGGGAUGACGGCCUUCGGGUUGUAAACCGCUUUCGCCUGUGACGAAGCGUGAGUGACGGUAAUGGGUAAAGAAGCACCGGCUAACUACGUG